CCUGUAUCCCAGUCAUUUUGUGGUGGGAUUUUAGUUCCUGGCCACUUGAAAGUUCUCGUUAUGAAUGUCAGAUAUGCAGAUCCAUAUUAGGUUGCUGAAGAGCUGCAUUAUUUCAACACAGCCCCAUCUCUUCACCGGGUGAUUUAUCCACAGCAGCAAAAGGCACUGUCAAUAAACCACAGGUAGACUUUUGGGAAACCAACACUUCAAACAGAGAUUUGCCUUUCUCUGCAAAGGAUAUGGAUGAAGUAUAACAGAGAAUUAGAGGUGGUCUCUGAUGCAGGGGACGUAACAAAGAUCACAUUUUCACUGCACACCCUUGCAGGAGUCUGUGUGUGACAAUUUCUGACAAUCAGUGCAAAUCAAGCACCGUGCACCACGCUGAGCCUGGAAUCAGCAUGCACCACACAGCCCUCAGGAGAGAAAGAGGUGGUGCUGCUGGAGAUGGAAACUGGUGUGGAUUCAAACUCCGAAAAGUAGAAAAAUAGAUCCCCUGAUGACAAAAUCACACCUGGUGUUAAAGCCUAGGCUCUCAUUAAGUAAUGAUUAUUGCCUGCUGUGUAUAAAAAUAGCCAACACAAAUAGCAGAACUUAGCAGUGCUAAUUUAAUAGUUGACUGUGCUUACGGGUGUUCAGUGGAGCAGAGAGAAUAAUCUGCUGAGAGUUGUAUAUUGAGUGAUUCCAGUCCCUCUAUUCUGCUUCUGGAAUAAGCACAAACAGAUCACAAUUUCCUGGAGUUCAUCUCUUCAAAUAUCUUUUAUUAACAACUUUUCCCAGAUACAAUUGACUGGGUUGAUUGAUCAUGAAUAUUCUCAAUUCAAACCGCUGUGUGUGCUUGUGGUUAAUCAGAUAAGUCACAUUUUAUCAUUUUUGUUGACUGUCUGGGUAAAUUCACAACAGCUUUCAGGGAGCUGAACCCAGCCAUGUGCUAAAGAAAGCAAAUGUACAAAAAAACCACAUACAUCUAAAGCAUAUUUAUCAAAACACAUUUUCAUUAGUUAUGUUUGGUAGAAAAGCAUCAUAACUGUGCAUUAACUAAAAGGAGAAUGGGACCUGCAACUUUGCACUUCAUGGAAAAUUACAUUUUGCUAUUGCAGAUGUGUAUUCUAGUGGGUAAUGUGUGUAUUUCUAUAUAUUGCUAAAUAUUUCUAUAUAUUGCUAUAUUUCCUUCACAAUUUAAGGUGACAUGAGACUCAUCCACUGCCUUUUCAAUGUUGGAAGGAAAUAUGCUGGAAAGGAAUAGAAGACUUAAAUACUUUAGAAUGUAAAAUGGUAACCAGCUAAUGACACAAAAUACAGCACAGUUUGGGAUUUUACAGAUCACUCUAAUGCCCUCAUGUGAUUCAUGUAUGGUCCUCUCACAGAGGAGCAAGAAUUUUUAAUAUUUAUUUUUCAGUGCUUGGGUCAAUGGGGAAGCCUGGGAGGUGUUAUCUGCUAAAACUAAACUAAACUUCAAA